rnacentral:rRNA from 1 species
UACAGGGGGGGCGAAGCAGUUGUUCGGUAAUUACUGGGGCGUAAAGGGCGCGUAGGCGGCCCGCUAAGUCGAACGUGAAAUCCCCCGAGCUCAACUCGGGAACUGCGUCCGAUACUGGCGGGCUUGAAUCCGGGAGAGGGAUGCGGAAUUCCAGGUGUAGCGGUGAAAUGCGUAGAUAUCUGGAGGAACACCGGUGGCGAAGGCGGCGUCCUGGACCGGCAUUGACGCUGAGGCGCGAAAGCUAGGGGAGCAAACGGG